AAUCGCGAAUCAGCAUGUCGCGGUGAAUACGUUCCCGGGUCUUGUACACACCGCCCGUCACACCAUGGGAGCUGGAAAUGCCCGAAGUCAGUGACCCAACCGCAAGGAGGGAGCUGCCGAAGGUGGAGCCGGUAACUGGGGUGAAGUCGUAACAAGGUACC
rnacentral:rRNA from 1 species